rnacentral:rRNA from 1 species
UACAGAGGUGGCAAGCGUUGUUCGGAAUUACUGGGCGUAAAGGGCGCGUAGGCGGCCAUCUAAGUCAGACGUGAAAUCCCCCGGCUUAACCUGGGAACUGCGUCUGAUACUGGGCGGCUUGAGUAUGGGAGAGGGAUGUAGAAUUCCAGGUGUAGCGGUGAAAUGCGUAGAUAUCGGGGGGAAUACCAGUGGCGAAAGCGGCACCCUAGCGUUAGCCUGACGCUCAUGUGCGAAAGCGUGGGGAGCGAACGGG